GUUCUUAGUUCGUGGAGUGAUCUGUCUGCUUAAUUGCGUAUCAAUAAUAGAGACCUAGUAUACGCGUGGAUUUCGCGUGGUAGUGACCCCCUGUUUAACGACAGGCGUGUGUAGCACACGAGUACCUACGCACUGGUCUCAGAUAGCAACGAACGUGACCGUAUUCUAUUGUUGCAGUGAAAUGUGCCUUCGCGGGUACGACCCACUGCUUAGUGUGUAGUACGUACUUCGGCGCGAACAAUAUACAUUAAACUAUAGAGACCGCUGUUUCUUCUUUAAACCAGAGGAAGGAUACGGCGAUAACAGGUCUGUGAUGCCCUCAGAUGUUCCGGGCUGCACACGUGCUACAAUGAUCAUUGCACUGUGCAUCUAACCCAAUGUGCGCGGACGCCGCAUGCAUGUGCUCUUCGGGGUACACGCAUUGCUGUUGCGACCGCGCCGAACCUACUUCGAAAGUAAAAUUUCUCAGUGGGUAAUCCAUUAGAAGUAAUGACUCGCAUAGACCAUGGCACAACUAAAUGUACGCGCAGGUUCUACCCGGCUCACCUUUGUGUGAGUGCAGUGCGUAGCUUGUUGUUUCGUACGUGCCACUCCGUAUUAAUUCGUACGUGGGGAUAGAUCAUUGUUUAAUUGUUGGUCUCGGUCUUAACUAGGAAUGCCUUGUACGGGUCUCUGGUUCAACAUACCACCCGGAAUACGUCCCUGCCCUUUGUACACACCGCCCGUCGCUCUUACCGAUGGAUUAUGCUAUGAAUCUAUAGGACUGCCAAAGCUUUUUGGAGCUUAGUGGAAAUAUAUAUGAAUAGCG
rnacentral:rRNA from 2 species